rnacentral:rRNA from 1 species
AAAGGAAUAGACGGGGGCCCGCACAAGCGGAGGAACAUGUGGUUUAAUUCGAUGAUACGCGAGGAACCUUACCCGGGCUCGAACGGUGAAUGACUGUAUGAGAGAUCAUACUUCUAUUUAUAGCAUUUAUCGAGGUGCUGCAUGGUUGUCGUCAGCUCGUGCCGUGAGGUGUCGGCUUAAGUGCCAUAACGAGCGCAACCCUUGUCGUUAGUUGCCAUCAGGUUAUGCUGGGGACUUUAGCGAGACUGCCACCGUAAGGUGUGAGGAAGGUGGGGAUGACGUCAAAUCAGCACGGCCCUUAUGUCCGGGGCGACACACGUGUUACAAUGGUAGGUACAGAGGGCUGCAUGUCGGUGACGGCUUGCUAAUCUCUAAAUCCUAUCUCAGUUCGGAUCGGAGUCUGCAACUCGACUCCGUGAAGUUGGAUUCGCUAGUAAUCGCGCAUCAGCCACGGCGCGGUGAAUACGUUCCCGGGCCUUGUACACACCGCCCGU